GACAGAGGGGGCAAGCGUUGCUCGGAAUUACUGGGCGUAAAGGGCGCGUAGGCGGUCUGUUGCGUCCGCUGUGAAAACUCGGGGCUUAACCCCGAGCCUGCAGUGGAUACGGGCAGACUAGAGGUAGGUAGGGGAGAAUGGAAUUCCCGGUGUAGCGGUGAAAUGCGCAGAUAUCGGGAGGAACACCGGUGGCGAAGGCGGUUCUCUGGGCCUUACCUGACGCUGAGGAGCGAAAGCGUGGGGAGCGAACAGG
rnacentral:rRNA from 1 species